GGCAGUGUGGCAUAGUGGUUUGAGCAUUGGACUGGGACAUUGGGAGACCAGGGUUCGAAUCCCGGCUGGGCCA